AAAGGCAGCAGGGAGACAUGGGGACACUGGGAGACGUGGGGACACAGACACUUGGGGACACUGUGAAACAUGGGGACUCUGAGUCACAUGGGGAUGCUGUGAGACAUAGACACAUUGGGACACGGAGACACUAGGGACACAGUGUCUCCAUGUCUCCCAGUCAGUGUCCCUAGUGUCUCAGUGUCCCCAAGUCUCCCAGUGUCUGUGUCCCCAUGUCUCCCAGU